rnacentral:piRNA from 1 species
UGCCAAUUCCUCUGUUGGCAUGGUCCGC